GUGAACUCACCCAGACAGCCAGGAUGUUGGCUUAGAAGCAGCCAUCAUUUAAAGAAAGCGUAAUAGCUCACUGGUCGAGUCGGCCUGCGCGGAAGAUGUAACGGGGCUAAACCAUGCACCGAAGCUGCGGCAGCGACACUAUGUGUUGUUGGGUAGGGGAGCGUUCUGUAAGCCGUUGAAGGUGGCCUGUGAGGGUUGCUGGAGGUAUCAGAAGUGCGAAUGCUGACAUAAGUAACGAUAAUGCGGGUGAAAAACCCGCACGCCGGAAGACCAAGGGUUCCUGUCCAACGUUAAUCGGGGCAGGGUGAGUCGACCCCUAAGGCGAGGCCGAAAGGCGUAGUCGAUGGGAAACAGGUUAAUAUUCCUGUACUCGGUGUUACUGCGAAGGGGGGACGGAGAAGGCUAUGUUGGCCGGGCGACGGUUGUCCCGGUUUAAGCAUGUAGGCGGAUGUUCCAGGUAAAUCCGGAACGUYAYYAACGCUGAGGUGUGAUGACGAGGCACUACGGUGCUGAAGUGACAAAUGCCCUGCUUCCAGGAAAAGCCUCUAAGCAUCAGGUAACAUCAAAUCGUACCCCAAACCGACACAGGUGGUCAGGUAGAGAAUACCAAGGCGCUUGAGAGAACUCGGGUGAAGGAACUAGGCAAAAURGUGCCGUAACUUCGGGAGAAGGCACGCUGAUGGUARGUGAAGYGACUUGCUCRUGGAGCUGAAAUCAGUCGAAGAUACCAGCUGGCUGCAACUGUUUAUUAAAAACACAGCACUGUGCAAACACGAAAGUGGACGUAUACGGUGUGACGCCUGCCCGGUGCCGGAAGGUUAAUUGAUGGGGUUAUCCUCRCGGAGAAGCUCUUGAUCGAAGCCCCGGUAAACGGCGGCCGUAACUAUAACGGUCCUAAGGUAGCGAAAUUCCUUGUCGGGUAAGUUCCGACCUGCACGAAUGGCGUAAUGAUGGCCAGGCUGUCUCCACCCGAGACUCAGUGAAAUUGAACUCGCUGUGAAGAUGCAGUGUACCCGCGGCAAGACGGAAAGACCCCGUGAACCUUUACUAUAGCUUGACACUGAACACUGGUCCUUGAUGUGUAGGAUAGGUGGGAGGCUUUGAAGUGUGGACGCCAGUCUGCAUGGAGCCAUCCUUGAAAUACCACCCUUUAAUGGCUGGUGUUCUAACGUGGGCCCGUAAUCCGGGUUGCGGACAGUGUCUGGUGGGUAGUUUGACUGGGGCGGUCUCCUCCUAAAGAGUAACGGAGGAGCACGAAGGUCAGCUAAUCCUGGUCGGACAUCAGGAGGUUAGUGCAAUGGCAUAAGCUGGCUUGACUGCGAGCGUGACGGCGCGAGCAGGUGCGAAAGCAGGUCAUAGUGAUCCGGUGGUUCUGAAUGGAAGGGCCAUCGCUCAACGGAUAAAAGGUACUCCGGGGAUAACAGGCUGAUACCGCCCAAGAGUUCAUAUCGACGGCGGUGUUUGGCACCUCGAUGUCGGCUCAUCACAUCCUGGGGCUGAAGUAGGUCCCAAGGGUAUGGCUGUUCGCCAUUUAAAGUGGUACGCGAGCUGGGUUUAGAACGUCGUGAGACAGUUCGGUCCCUAUCUGCCGUGGGCGCUGGAGAAUUGAGGGGGGCUGCUCCUAGUACGAGAGGACCGGAGUGGACGCAUCACUGGUGUUCGGGUUGUCAUGCCAAUGGCAUUGCCCGGUAGCUAAAUGCGGAAGAGAUAAGUGCUGAAAGCAUCUAAGCACGAAACUUGCCCCGAGAUGAGUUCUCCCUGACCCUUUAAGGGUCCUGAAGGAACGUUGAAGACGACGACGUUGAUAGGCCGGGUGUGUAAGCGCAGCGAUGCGUUGAGCUAACCGGUACUAAUGAACCGUGAGGCUUAACCU
rnacentral:rRNA from 1 species